rnacentral:sRNA from 1 species
UUGACAGAAGAGAGAGAGCACCAUCAAGAUCU